GUCAGUGUGGCAUAGUGGUUUGAGCACUGGACUAUGACUCUGGAGACCAGGGUUGGAAUCCUGGUUCAGCCC